UACGUAGGGUGCAAGCGUUGUCCGGAAUUAUUGGGCGUAAAGGGCGCGUAGGCGGCCUGGCAAGUGGAAGGUGAAAUCCCUCGGCUUAACCGAGGAACUGCCCUCCAAACUGCUUGGCUUGAGACCGGGAGAGGUGAGUGGAAUUCCCAGUGUAGCGGUGAAAUGCGUAGAUAUUGGGAGGAACACCAGUGGCGAAGGCGGCUCACUGGACCGGAACUGACGCUGAUGCGCGAAAGCGUGGGGAGCAAACGGG
rnacentral:rRNA from 1 species